rnacentral:lncRNA from 1 species
CACCUGCCGGCUACGCCAGAACCACGUGGCAGACACUCUGGAAUGACAUGCCAGGCAUUCCGGAGCCACCUCUCAGAAAUGCCAGAUCCACAUGGGGUACAUGCUGGAACCACCUGCUGGCCACUCCACAACUAUGUGGCAGACAGCCAGGAAUCACCUGAAGGGCAUGCCAGAACCACCUCUCAGGUGUACCAGAACCACGUGCUGGACACGCCAGAACCACGUCCUGGACAGACUGGAACCACCUAAUGGACACACCAGAACCAGCUGCUCGACUUGCAGUACCCACAUGCCGGACAAGCCAAAAUCAACUGCUGGCUACGCCAGAACCACUUGCCUGACACUCCUGAGUCAUCUGCCGGGCAUGCCAGAACCACCUCUCAGACUUACCAGAACCACAUGCUGGAGACGCCGGAAGCACCUCCCGGACAGAGCGGAAGCACCUGACGGACACGCUGGAACACCCUGCUCGACUCGCCGGAACCACCUGCGGGACACACAAAAUCACCUGCCGGCUACACCAGAACCACUUGGUGGACACUCCGGAAUCCCCUGCCGGGCAUGCCGGAACCACCUCUCAGACGUACCAGAACCACGUGCUGGACACACUGGAACCACGUCCUGGACCGACUGGAACCGCCGUCCGGACACACCUGAACCACCUGCUCGACUCGCAGGACCCACGUGCCGGACACUGCAAAAUCACCUGCCGGCUACAGCAGAACCACAUGCCGGACACUCUGGAAUCACCUGCUGGGCAUGCUGGAACCACCUCUCAGACUUGCCAGAACCACAUGCCAGAGACACCGGAAGCACCUGCCGAGCACGCCACAGCCACCUGCUCGACUUGCCGGAACCACCUGCUGGACAUGGCAAAAUCACCUGUCGGCUACACCAGAACCACUUGCCAGACACUCCGGAAUCACCUGACGGGCAUGUCAGCAAAACCUCUCAGACGUGCCCGAAGCACGUGCCGGACAUGCAGGAACCACCUCCCAGACACACCAAAACCACCUGCCAGACUCGCCAGAACCACGUGCUAGACUCACCGGAUCCACCAGCUGGACACGCCAAAAUCACCUGCCGGCUAUGCCAGAACCACUUGGCGGACACUCCAGAAUCACCUGCCGGGCAUGCCGGAACCACUUUUCAGACAUGCC